CAGGAUGAACGCUAGCGGCAGGCUUAACACAUGCAAGUCGAGGGGCAUCGGGAGUAGCAAUACUGCCGGCGACCGGCGCAAGGGUGCGUAACGCGUGAGCAACAUGCCCGUAUCAGGGGGGAUAAUCCAUGGAAACGUGGUCUAAUACCCCAUAGUAAUUAUGUAAGGCAUCUUAUAUAAUUUAAAGCUUUGGUGGAUACGGAUUGGCUCGCGUGACAUUAGCUAGAUGGUAAGGUAACGGCUUACCAUGGCUACGAUGUCUAGGGGUUCUGAGAGGAAGGUCCCCCACACUGGAACUGAGACACGGUCCAGACUCCUACGGGAGGCAGCAGUGAGGAAUAUUGGACAAUGGAUGGAAAUCUGAUCCAGCCAUGCCGCGUGCCAGGAAGACGGCCCUAUGGGUUGUAAACUGCUUUUGUAUGGGAGCAAUAAGGGCUACGCGUAGUCCGAUGAGAGUACCAUACGAAUAAGCACCGGCUAACUCCGUGCCAGCCGCGGC
rnacentral:rRNA from 1 species